AACAUAAACACAGUAAGCUUUGCAUCUUGAUUGAAGCAAAGACAUCUGUCUUUUCCCAGAUAGCAAGAACUUUGGUUGCUGUGGCAACAUAUUGACUGGGGAAUUUAAAAAUAAAGGUGGCUCAUUUCCAAAUCAUUUUUCCCCCUUCACGAAAAAGCCACACACUGGUAAUAAAUGUGGGAGGUAUGCAGAAAUCAGAAAAUAUUCUACUCAUCAAGAAUGUGGCAAGUUAUAACUACAAAAUGAAAAUAGAAACAGAAUAGAAAUAUCAAGAUAAGGGACAACUAAGAGACUAAGGAAAUAUGACAGGUGAUGUACAAAAUUUUUUGUAUUUAUUUGCUAUACUAGUGCAAAAAUAAAAAUGGUUGUCUCACUCCUACCCUGGUAUAU
rnacentral:lncRNA from 1 species